GGGGCUGCAGCUCGGAGGCAGAGCCCCUGCUUGGCAUGCAGAAGGUUCCGGGUUCGGUUCCUGGCAUCUCCU